UUGACUGGUUGGGGUGUGUGAGAGACUGUGGGUGUGUGGUGUGGCUGGAUCGAGAGCUUGACUGAGAGGUCUGUGUGUGUUUUUGGGGUGUGGAGAGGCUCUGAGAGAUUGGAGGAAGGUGUUUGGUGAGGGAAUUGGUGGUUGCAUUGCUAGGGUGAGAGACUGGAGCAAGAGUUUGGAUAGAAUGACUGGUUUCUUUGGCUAGUGCACCUUGGAGACACGCCGUGCUAGAUUUCAGUGACCUGUGAGGCUCCAUCAAUCUCCUCCCUCCAUUGCGGUGAACUUUCACUGGAGGUAGCUAGGGUUGGCUCCCCAGGUUUCUUUCCUUCUGGGUGUGUGUAUCACAUAAAGCAGCGGCCCGCUACUGUAAGUAUUAGUGGGGAAAUGUUGUACAAAGAGGCUAAAUGAUUCCUCAAGGUCACAUAGGAAGACACUAUGAGAGAUGGAAGUCUUCUGAUUGAAUCAGUGCUUCAGCCCUCCAUCAUGUUACAACCUUUUACAUGCCCUAAACUGGGAAUGUAAUGUGGUAAGACAUGCCAAAGAGACAACACUGCAUACCAUUUCCUAUCUUAGAGCUACAGAACAUACAUAAGCUAUUCUGCAUCUCAUCGCUGAUUUGGAGUUCAUCUGGAGUCAACAUCCAGUAUUGCAUGGACAGGAGUCUCUUUAACCUCUACUGGUUACAUUCCAAAUCAAAGAAAACCAACACUUCUGUUACUGAUCUUCAAUAGGCAGAUGAUUGUCUCAUGUGCUCACUCAGUUAAAAAGUUCCAGGUCACUCUUGACCAUUUCUGUGAAGCAUAUGAAAUGCCUGGACUCACUGUCAACUUCACUAAAACAUAUAUACUUUACAAACCUACCCCAAACCAACCAGCUAGUCCUUUACAGAUUAUAAUUAGAAGGAGAUCUUUGUAGAAUGUUGAACAUUUCCCCUACCUGGAUAGCUGCCUUUCCUAGAAAGUAGAUGUACACAAUGAUAUUGAACACUAGAUAAAAUCUUCCAGUGCUGCUUUUAGAUGCCUCUGAAAUUUAUGUCUACAGUGAUUAUGACAUAAGGACCCAAAGCAAACAGUCUGUGAGGCUGUUCUCAUCCCUAUCCUAUGGUAUGGGUGUGAAAGUUAGAUGACAUAUCAGAAACACCUGAAAGUUUGGAAUAUUAUCCAUCCACAAUGCCCUCAGAAAAUCCUUCUUAUCAACUGGAAGCACAGAAGAACAAAUGCCAGUGUUCUGGCUCAGGAAAACAAUACCAACACUGAAGCCAUGUUUAUAGGACACCAGCUGGACAGGACAUGUCAUAAGAAUGCCUGACAACUGGCUCCCAAAACAGGUAGGUCCUAUACUCCCAGUUCACUAAUGGUUGCUGCUGUAGAGGUGGGCAAAAGACAAGAUUCAAGGACACCUUGAAGGCCAAUCUGAAGAAAUGCAAUAAGAACAUCUGUACUGGGAGGACUCAAGCACUGAAUCAUCCCCAGUGGCACUGUGAUGUACAUCAAAGCAUCUAUCAUUUUGAGAAAACUUGCCUCUGUCUCACUAUGGAGGUAGAUAGAUCAGAGAUAAAAGGAAAGAGCUGUGACCUGACAUCAACAAGGAUCUACUCCUACCACCUGGAGCUAAUUGCCACCUCUGCAAUAGAACAUAUGGAUCUUGGAUCGAUCUCUUCAGUCAUCUAGGGAUUCACAAAUGACUUUCCUGUUUACUAGAAGACUGUCAUCCUCAUAUUGAAGAACUGCUGCCGCUGACUUGGUGUCAGUCUUGAAUGCAAGACUUAGAGCUUUGUAUGCUUUUUAAAACACUGUGUACCAUCCAUCCCCUGAGUAAAAAAAAGACUUAAUGACGAAUUUCUGUGAAAUACCAUCCAGUCCUUGCAAUUAUAAAGCAUUAUUAAAAACAAAUAAAUAAAACAGUGUUGUUUGCUUUUCUUUGCUGUCCAUGACUACAAAUAUAGUAGCUUUGAUGGUUCCAGAAAAUUAGCUAACAAAGAUAAGCAAAAAGGAUUAAGUGAAAUUCUCGCAUAGGAAAAUAACCACUUAAAAUUGAUGAUGAUGACGAUUCAUGGUGUUACUCUCUAAGGGACUGGAUGGUAUAUUGUAGCUGCUCAUACAACUUACGUGACCACUGAAAGGAUUAAUAAAAUUGACUGUGGUGAAGAA